rnacentral:rRNA from 1 species
AGUGGAAAGUUCACACUGUGACGGUAGCUUACCAGAAAGGGACGGCUAACUACGUGCCAGCAGCCGCGGUAAUACGUAGGUCCCGAGCGUUGUCCGGAUUUAUUGGGCGUAAAGCGAGCGCAGGCGGUUUGAUAAGUCUGAAGUUAAAGGCUGUGGCUCAACCAUAGUUCGCUUUGGAAACUGUCAAACUUGAGUGCAGAAGGGGAGAGUGGAAUUCCAUGUGUAGCGGUGAAAUGCGUAGAUAUAUGGAGGAACACCGGUGGCGAAAGCGGCUCUCUGGUCUGUAACUGACGCUGAGGCUCGAAAGCGUGGGGAGCGAACAGGAUUAGAUACCCUGGUAGUCCACGCCGUAAACGAUGAGUGCUAGGUGUUGGAUCCUUUCCGGGAUUCAGUGCCGCAGCUAACGCAUUAAGCACUCCGCCUGGGGAGUACGACCGCAAGGUUGAAACUCAAAGGAAUUGACGGGGGCCCGCACAAGCGGUGGAGCAUGUGGUUUAAUUCGAAGCAACGCGAAGAACCUUACCAGGUCUUGACAUCCCGAUGCUAUUUCUAGAGAUAGAAAGUUACUUCGGUACAUCGGUGACAGGUGGUGCAUGGUUGUCGUCAGCUCGUGUCGUGAGAUGUUGGGUUAAGUCCCGCAACGAGCGCAACCCCUAUUGUUAGUUGCCAUCAUUCAGUUGGGCACUCUAGCGAGACUGCCGGUAAUAAACCGGAGGAAGGUGGGGAUGACGUCAAAUCAUCAUGCCCCUUAUGACCUGGGCUACACACGUGCUACAAUGGUUGGUACAACGAGUUGCGAGUCGGUGACGGCGAGCUAAUCUCUUAAAGCCAAUCUCAGUUCGGAUUGUAGGCUGCAACUCGCCUACAUGAAGUCGGAAUCGCUAGUAAUCGCGGAUCAGCACGCCGCGGUGAAUACGUUCCCGGGCCUUGUACACACCGCCCGUCACACCACGAGAGUUUGUAACACCCGAAGUCGGUGA